rnacentral:rRNA from 1 species
AUUGAACGCUGGCGGCAGGCCUAACACAUGCAAGUCGAGCGGGAACUUCGGUUCUAGCGGCGGACGGGUGAGUAAUGCGUAGGAAGCUACCCGACAGAGGGGGAUACCAGUUGGAAACGACUGUUAAUACCGCAUAAUGUCUACGGACCAAAGUGUGGGACCUUCGGGCCACAUGCUGUCGGAUGCGCCUACGUGGGAUUAGCUAGUUGGUGAGGUAAUGGCUCACCAAGGCGACGAUCCCUAGCUGGUUUGAGAGGAUGAUCAGCCACACUGGAACUGAGACACGGUCCAGACUCCUACGGGAGGCAGCAGUGGGGAAUAUUGGACAAUGGGCGCAAGCCUGAUCCAGCCAUGCCGCGUGUGUGAAGAAGGCCUUCGGGUUGUAAAGCACUUUCAGUAGGAAGGAAGGGGUUGUAGUUAAUAGCUGCAACUUUUGACGUUACCUACAGAAGAAGCACCGGCCAACUCUGUGCCAGCCGCCGCAGUAACAC